rnacentral:lncRNA from 1 species
GUGGCUUUGAUGCCGUGAGGUGUUGAGCUGAGGUAGCUUGGUCACCAGCACGGCCAUUCACGUCUUGCAAGAUUUAGUCAAAUUGUAGAAGUUUAUAAAGAUGUUACACGUACCAACAAUUCUACACAUGGAGUCAUGAGACAAUGAUUGUUGACAACCUCAUGUAAAGGACAAUGAGAAGUGUAGCUCACAGCCAGGAUGCCUUUGAGUUCCUCAGCCACCACUUCAUAUCAGAAGAUCUUAAGAAUCAGGAAAAGUUUGCUCACUACUCAGUCUCCUUGACAUCUAAAGGAUGUGAUAUAGGACAGUUAUAAAUGAACCUUUGGCUUACGCGGAGACAUCAGGCAGACUGAGA